GCCCCUAUGGUGUAGUCCGGUCAAUCAUCUCAGGCCUUCGCCCUGAGGACGGGGGUUCGAAUCCCUCUGGGGGCA
rnacentral:tRNA from 1 species